rnacentral:rRNA from 1 species
GCAAGUCGAACGAGAACGGGACUGCUUGCAGUCCUCAGUAAAGUGGCGCACGGGUGAGUAACACGUGGAUAACCUACCUCAUGUUCCGGAACAACAUUGCGAAAGCGAUGCUAAUACGGGAUGAAAUUAUAUUUUCCUCGGAAGAAAUAAUGAAAGGGUGCCUCUAUUUAUAAGCAUCUGACCUGAGAUGGGUCCGCGGAUCAUUAGCUGGAUGGUGGGGUAAUGGCCUACCAUGGCAACGAUGGUUAGCGGGUCUGAGAGGAUGAUC